GAACAUGGCUGACGCAGUCCCCUGGGAUCAGCCUCCUUGAGCACAGAGCAGGGCAGAGAAAGGUGGAGAGUGCGUGCAGGAGGGCAGGGUCAGGCACUGAAGAACGAGCGCAGCAUUACUAGGCAGUCUCUUCUCUCCCCCCUCCUCCACUUCCACUCCACGUGCCGGGCAGCAAUCUCCAAUUCUGCAUCAUUCACCCAAAGUUCUCUUUUCCAAAGAGGCUUCCCUGCUACGAGGAAUAUGGAAGACUGGCCAGCAGGUCCACCCAUGUUGCUGCAGAUGGCAUUGUUUCAUUCUUCUUUAUGGCUGAGUACUAUUCUACUGUAUUAGGCGGGCCUCUCACUGCUGCGGCCUCUCCCGUCGCGGAGCACAGGAUCCAGACGCGCAGGCCCAGCGGCCAUGGCUCACGGGCCCAGCCGCUCCGCGGCAUGUGGGAUCUUCCCGGACCGGGGCACGAACCCGCGUCCCCUGCAUCGGCAGGCGGACUCUCAACCACUGUGCCACCAGGGAAGCCCCAGCAUUCUUCUUUUUCACUAAAAAAUAUCACAUUAUUAAAUUCAUCAGUGUUCCCUUUUUCUGCAAUUAAAAAUUUU